rnacentral:rRNA from 1 species
UACGGAGGGGGCUAGCGUUGUUCGGAAUUACUGGGCGUAAAGCGCACGUAGGCGGCUUUGUAAGUUAGAGGUGAAAGCCUGGAGCUCAACUCCAGAACUACCUUUAAGACUGCAUCGCUUGAACGUCGGAGAGGUGAGUGGAAUUCCGAGUGUAGAGGUGAAAUUCGUAGAUAUUCGGAAGAACACCAGUGGCGAAGGCGGCUCACUGGACGACUGUUGACGCUGAGGCGCGAAAGCGUGGGGAGCAAACAGG